GACCAAGGCGGGGAAUGCGGCGUAUGUGAUGUACACAUCGGGAUCGACGGGGAAGGCGAAGGGAGUGGUGGUAACGCAUCGGGGAAUU
rnacentral:misc_RNA from 1 species